AGAAAACCUGUGGAGGCGGGCAAGGCCCCCGAUCACGUGAUCCCGCCCCCCCCCCCCACCAACUCCGGGCGGAAGAGGCCGGCAACACCUCUGCACGAAGCGAGUGGGCGGCCGCUCGUGCCCGGCUAAAAGAUGGCUGCUGCCGCCGGGCAGCCACCGCCUGGGAGGUUACUGUAAGGCCCGCAACUCCCGCCAGCUCCCGCGAACCGCUGCCGCCUCCUUACCAUGAAGCCAGUGAGUCGUCGCACGCUGGACUGGAUUUAUUCUGUGUUGCUGCUUGUCAUCGUUUUAAUCUCCUGGGGCUGCAUCAUCUAUGCUUCAAUGGUGUCUGCAAGACGACAGCUAAGGAAGAAAUACCCAGACAAAAUCUUUGGGACGAAUGAAAAUUUGUAACUCCUCUGGAUUUACUUCUCUGAAAAUAGUUCUUUCCCUCAUGCUUAGGUAGAUUUAAAAGUAAAAUUCAUAAUGCAAAGUUCCCAAGUUUAUUUUUGCAUUAUCCUUUAUAACAAGCACUAGUAUGCAAAUUUGCAGAAAUAUCAGGCACAUUUCACACCUCUUUUGCAGUUUUUGGUUUAGUUGCUGCUUGCCAUCGUUUUAAUCAACUGGGGCUGCAUCAUCUAUGCUUCAAUGGUGUCUGCAAGACGACAGCUAAGGAAGAAAUACACAGACAAAAUCUUUGGGACGAAUGAAAAUUUGUAACUCCUCUGUAUUUAAUUCUUUGAAAAUACAGUUCUUUCCCUCAUGCUUAUGUAGAUUUAAAAAUAAAAUUCAUAAUGCAAAGUUC